ACAGAUACACACAUCCAACUCAAUAUGGGCUAUUUAUAUCAUGAUAUGAGCACACACAAAGAUACUCAUUCUUUGAUGCAGACUGAAAUGUUCAAAUGCUCCUCGCGCCUUUGUGUGCCGUUCUAAUAAUGUGCUUAAAUAUUUAAUAUUUUUAUUGUACUAUUUCCCAGGCGAUCCCCAGUUCCCCUGCACUCUUGUCCCUGCCAGCGGCUGCCUGGUCCCUGGCCCAUCAUUGUUUGUCCGGGGGCAACACUUUCCGAUGACGUAGAGCAAAUACUCGCAGUAGUCCAAAAAUAUACAUACGAGUACAUGAAUGUAUUCGGGCCUGGUCAAUUCGGUCUGGUCGGCAUAGGCUUGGAUCUGAAUCGAAAUCAGUUUCGGCUGGACUCGGCUCGGAUCGAGUACGAGUGCGUAAGCCCUGCUCAAACUUUUUAAUUAGUUUCAAUUGUCGACGCGCGUUGGCCGUGUGGGUGGCCAAUAAACAGACGCAUCGACAGACACAUGUACAUAUAUAUUUAUGAAAAAUAUUUGCUUUAUAACUAGUUUUUGUUUUGCUGCUGCUGUUGUUGUUGUUGUUGUUGUUGUUUUUGUUUUCUAUUUCAUUGACUGUUUAUAUAGCUUUAAAAUGCAGCGCAUUUUGUUCGAUUUAAGCACUCAGAUGACGCAUGCGUCGUGUGGCUGUGACUUUACAAAAAUAUCCGCUUUGACCAAGUUAUCACCGAUACACUUAUAUUUGGUUGUUUGUAUCUGUGUGCGCAUAUCAAUAUGUAUGAAAUGUGUAAUAUUUAUUUUUAUUGUUAUUAUUGAUUUAUUUGUUUAUACAAUAUUUUCACACAAAUUAAAAUACUUUACCGACUCGUUGGCUUCGCCUUGUCAAAAAUCAACCACAGCAGCAACGCGGACGCCGACGCUGACGCCGACGCCGACGUCAACGGCGAUGCCAACGUCGACGUCGCGAUGUCAGUGAUGCACAUGUUAUUUAUCCCCAUUCUCUUCUUCUUCUUUUUUUUUUUUUUUUUUAGCCCAACCCAAUUAUCGAUGCUCAUUAGUACGUAUUUAAUUGUUUGCCAAAUUUUGUAAAGUAAAAUAUGAACGCAA